rnacentral:rRNA from 1 species
UACGUAGGGCGCAAGCGUUAUCCGGAAUUAUUGGGCGUAAAGAGCUCGUAGGCGGUUUGUCGCGUCUGCUGUGAAAACCUAAGGCUCAACCUUGGGCUUGCAGUGGGUACGGGCAGACUAGAGUGCGGUAGGGGUGACUGGAAUUCCUGGUGUAGCGGUGGAAUGCGCAGAUAUCAGGAGGAACACCGAUGGCGAAGGCAGGUCACUGGGCCGCAACUGACGCUGAGGAGCGAAAGCGUGGGGAGCGAACAGG